CGAGAUAGUAAAUUUAUGCGUUGACAUUAGGUCUUCCACCGUAUCAAAAUGAACCUUGAUCAAAAUGAACCUUGAUCAAUACUCAUGGAUGUAGAAUUAUAUUGAAUUGGAUCGUUGCAUCGGACAAAAAGAGCCGAGAAAGAUCUUGAGAGGUCAUCAGCAUCGGACAAAAAUGAACCUUGAUCAAAAUUCUGUGAAUAAGAAUGAGGAUCAUAUGAAAACCGCAUUGAUGAGUUAGAGCAAUCGAAAAUAUAUUUCCUCUGUUUCUUUAUCUUCCUCCAUAGCUGUCUCCAGGUUGGUGUUUUGCUUGAUGAUCGGCUCACCGGCAAAUUAUAGGAUAC
rnacentral:lncRNA from 1 species